rnacentral:rRNA from 1 species
CCUACGGGAGGCAGCAGUCGAGAAUCAUUCACAAUGGGGGAAACCCUGAUGGUGCGACGCCGCGUGGGGGAAUGAAGGUCUUCGGAUUGUAAACCCCUGUCAUGUGGGAGCAAAUUAAAAAGAUAGUACCACAAGAGGAAGAGACGGCUAACUCUGUGCCAGCAGCCGCGGUAAUACAGAGGUCUCAAGCGUUGUUCGGAAUCACUGGGCGUAAAGCGUGCGUAGGCCGUUUCGUAAGUCGUGUGUGAAAGGCGCGGGCUCAACCCGCGGACGGCACAUGAUACUGCGAGACUAGAGUAAGGGAGGGGGAACCGGAAUUCUCGGUGUAGCAGUGAAAUGCGUAGAUAUCGAGAGGAACACUCGUGGCGAAGGCGGGUUCCUGGACAUUAACUGACGCUGAGGCACGAAGGCCAGGGGAGCGAAAGGGAUUAGAUACCCGGGUAGUC